rnacentral:rRNA from 1 species
GCCCAGACUCCUACGGGAGGCAGCAGUGGGGAAUAUUGGGCAAUGGGCGCAAGCCUGACCCAGCAACGCCGCGUGAAGGAGGAAGGCUUUCGGGUUGUAAACUUCUUUUAAGAGGGAAGAGUAGAAGACGGUACCUCUUGAAUAAGCCACAGCUAACUACGUGCCAGCAGCCGCGGUAAUACGUAGGUGGCAAGCGUUGUCCGGAUUUACUGGGUGUAAAGGGCGUGUAGCCGGGCCGGCAAGUCAGAUGUGAAAUCCCAAGGCUCAACCUUGGAACUGCAUUUGAAACUGUUGGUCUUGAGUAUCGGAGAGGCAGGCGGAAUUCCUAGUGUAGCGGUGAAAUGCGUAGAUAUUAGGAGGAACACCAGUGGCGAAGGCGACUAUCUGGCACAUAACUGACGCUGAGGAGCGAAAGCGUGGGUAGCAAACAGGAUUAGAUACCCCUGUA